UAUUACGAAAUGAGAAACUGAAAUAAACAGCACUAAAUUAAUAAUCGACUAACAAACUGUAACAGUGGUGAUGGGUAUAAGAAGGUUAUACACGACUAUUAUGUGUUUGAUCAUGAGGUGGUACCAGCUAGGUCAAGCUCUCCCAGUACUCCUAUUCAGGAGGGAUUAUUAGCAGAUCCAGUGGUCCUUUGGGCACAACAGCAAGUUCUUCAUCCAGCAAAAUUGUACUCAUCUGUAGACAAAGUUGUCUUCGAUGAUCCAAAGUGGCUAGACCAGUGGUACAU